rnacentral:rRNA from 1 species
AGAGUUUGAUCAUGGCUCAGGAUGAACGCUAGCUACAGGCUUAACACAUGCAAGUCGAGGGGAAACGACAUCGAAAGCUUGCUUUUGAUGGGCGUCGACCGGCGCACGGGUGAGUAACGCGUAUCCAACCUGCCCACCACUUGGGGAUAACCUUGCGAAAGUAAGACUAAUACCCAAUGAUAUCUCUAGAAGACAUCUGAAAGAGAUUAAAGAUUUAUCGGUGAUGGAUGGGGAUGCGUCUGAUUAGUUGUUGGCGGGGUAACGCCACAAGGCGACGAUCAGUAGGGGUUCUGAGAGGAAGGUCCCCCANAUUGGAACUGAGACACGGUCCAAACUCCGUACGGGAGGCA